rnacentral:rRNA from 1 species
AGGGGGACCUUCGGGCCUCUUGCCAUCAGAUGUGCCCAGAUGGGAUUAGCUAGUAAGUGGGGUAACGGCUCACCUAGGCGACGAUCCCUAGCUGGUCUGAGAGGAUGACCAGCCACACUGGAACUGAGACACGGUCCAGACUCCUACGGGAGGCAGCAGUGGGGAAUAUUGCACAAUGGGCGCAAGCCUGAUGCAGCCAU